rnacentral:rRNA from 1 species
AUUGAACGCUGGCGGCAGGCCUAACACAUGCAAGUCGAACGGUAGCACAGAGAGCUUGCUCUCGGGUGACGAGUGGCGGACGGGUGAGUAAUGUCUGGGAAACUGCCCGAUGGAGGGGGAUAACUACUGGAAACGGUAGCUAAUACCGCAUAACGUCGCAAGACCAAAGUGGGGGACCUUCGGGCCUCACACCAUCGGAUGUGCCCAGAUGGGAUUAGCUAGUAGGUGGGAUAAUGGCUCACCUAGGCGACGAUCCCUAGCUGGUCUGAGAGGAUGACCAGCCACACUGGAACUGAGACACGGUCCAGACUCCUACGGGAGGCAGCAGUGGGGAAUAUUGCACAAUGGGCGCAAGCCUGAUGCAGCCAUGCCGCGUGUAUGAAGAAGGCCUUCGGGUUGUAAAGUACUUUCAGCGGGGAGGAAGGCGGUGAAGUUAAUAGCUUCACCGAUUGACGUUACCCGCAGAAGAAGCACCGGCUAACUCCGUGCCAGCAGCCGCCGUAA